GAUGAACGCUGGCGGCGUGCUUAACACAUGCAAGUCGAACGGAAAGGCCCUGCUUUUGUGGGGUGUUCGAGUGGCGAACGGGUGAGUAACACGUGAGUAACCUGCCCUUGACUUUGGGAUAACUUCAGGAAACUGGGGCUAAUACCGGAUAGGAGCUCCUGCUGCAUGGUGGGGGUUGGAAAGUUUCGGCGGUUGGGGAUGGACUCGCGGCUUAUCAGCUUGUUGGUGGGGUAGUGGCUUACCAAGGCUUUGACGGGUAGCCGGCCUGAGAGGGUGACCGGCCACAUUGGGACUGAGAUACGGCCCAGACUCCUACGGGAGGCAGCAGUGGGGAAUAUUGCACAAUGGGCGGAAGCCUGAUGCAGCAACGCCGCGUGCGGGAUGACGGCCUUCGGGUUGUAAACCGCUUUCGCCUGUGACGAAGCGUGAGUGACGGUAAUGGGUAAAGAAGCACCGGCUAACUACGUG
rnacentral:rRNA from 1 species